rnacentral:lncRNA from 1 species
CGAGGGUGCUCGCCGAGCGGCGACAGGACCCCCUGAGGAGUUGGGCCAGAGUGGCGCCCCGAGGGGCCGAAACCAUUGUCCGAGAGGGGCUUGGGGAGCCGGCCUGGGGUGGGGGCGUCCGGAGAGCUGUGGGGCUGGAUUUUGGCUUUCGCCGUCCCGCGCGCGCCCCGCAGUCAGAGGAGCUCACCCUUAGGAGCACGUUCCGUGUUUCAGGCUGUUCUACCGCCUACGUGCCUGUGUAUAUCGACUCAUUUCAGGUUCACAAUAGCCCUCGCAUGGGUCCCUGGUAUGAAUUCCUAUUUUACAGAUGGGGAAACUGAGUCCCAGAAAGGAAAAAUUCUUUGCCAGAGAAGGCAGAGCACCAAGCUUGAACCCAGUCAGGGUGACUUAGGCUCCCGGGCCCCUCCCAGCCAGACAUGCCCCCUCCUGGUGGCGGUCCUGUCUGUGGGAGUCUCCAGCGUGGGGGUGACAGUCCAGCUGGAGGUGGCCAGGAGGUGUAAGGGUGCGGUAGGGGCCCCAUGGCUCCUUGGGGGUUGUCCACGGAGGGCCGUGCCCUCCAGAGGCUGUGCCAGGCCCCCUCCCAGACUGCCAGGCUCUCCGAGGCCAGGGAGAGGGUUCCCCAGGAGCCAGCAUCACCUCCCUCCCUUUGGACUGUCCAGGACCCCAUGAAGGUCCCCACCAAGCUGCCCAUGGGAGCCCUCAGAAGGCUGCACGAAGGGCCGCCCAGGGCCCCAGACCCUGUGGGGAGGGGAACAGAGUGGGUACCAGCACCAGGGUGGAGUGGGCAGCACAUGCCCCCACCUGGCCUCUGUCAGGGAAGUGACCUGCUGCCUGGCAAGGGGUCACCUUUGUGUCGUUUAAGAAAUGUUCAUUUGACUCAAAUGAUCAAGUCAGUCCGUGCAGUGUCUGAGUGGGGAGGCAGACGAGUGCAGGUUCCCGGGGAGUCUCAAGUCAGAGGGUCAUGUGGAAGGCAAGGAAGGCUUCCUGGAGGAGGUGACGCUUAGGAUUUGAAGGAUGCUCGCAAGUCAAGCAGGCCCCGCCGGACGCCGCACUUCUCACCUCAGAGCCUCAUAACGAAGACCAACUCCCUGCUUUCAGGCCCAUUCUACUGAAAGAAACUGGGGAUCAGAAAGGCACGAUCGCUUGGCCAAAGAUACCCAGCUGGAAAGUUGGGGAGUAAAGGUUUAAACACCGUUCUUCCUCUGUGCUCGCCUCCCCAGUCCAACACACUGGUCUCCUCGCUGUUUCUCAAAUACUCCAGGCAUGUCCCUGCCUCAGGGCCUUUGCACUGGCUGUCCCCGCAACCUGGCACUCUCUUCCUCCAGAUGUCUGCCGGGCUCCUCCCUCACCUCCUACAUGUCUUUGUUCAAACGUCACCUCCUCUUCAGGGUCCUUUC